AACACACCUUAAGAAUCGCUUUGACCUGCUCUUGGACAAAUUGUUAAAAAAAGCCUGUGAUCUGUGAAACAAUGCUGAAGAUAGUAUUUGUGCUGGGAUGCCUCCUGUGUCUCACUCUAGCUUAUUCAGAUGACUUGGUAUCCAACCGAGUGGAGCGCUCACCUGGGGGCCACCACCCUAAAAGGGGUCAUGGUCCUUCACAUGAUAACCGUCCUUGUAUAAAUAAAAAGGAACUUGAGAGGCUUCUCCAGAUUCUGCUUAACACUGCUGCAGCUACCACUACCAGAGCUGCCACUACUACUGCAGCUACCACUGCCACAGCGGCUACUGCAACCACAGCGGCAGCUGGAACUACAUAGAGGCUGAAAUGACUGGAAGGUGUAAAGAGCUUUUAAAAGAGGACCAACAACAUGUUUGAAAGUAUGCUCUAUCCCCAGUAAACAUGUAAAAUUAAAUCUAUUUUCUCAAUAAAGUACAAGCCGAAAGCA